rnacentral:rRNA from 1 species
GGGUUUAAAGCGCGCGUAGGCGGUUUUUAAGGUCAGAGGUGAAGCCCGGGGCUCAACCCCGGAAAUUCGGCCUUUUGAAACGUGGAAAACUUGUAAUACUUUGGAGAGGGUCAGUGGAAUUCCGAGGUGUAGAGGGUGGAAAUUCGUUAGAUAUUCGGAAGAACACCAGUAGGCGAAGGCGACUGACUGGAACAAGUAUUGACGCGUGAAGGUGCCGAAAGCGGUGGGGAGCAAAACAGGGAUUAGAUACCCUGGUAGUCCAACGCCGUAAACGGAUGAAUAAACGUAGUACUAGUCCCGGGUUCGAUUACGAACCUUCGGGUAGCGCAGCUAACGUCAGUUAAGUUAUCCGCCUUGGGGAGUACGGUCGCAAGAUUAAAACU